CUGACCUUCAGCUGACCUGCCCAUAGCACAGAGUUAGUUCACCUGUGCCUUCCUAUUUGCACUGCUUUGUAGCCUGAUUGAAUGUUUGAAAUCAGUGCCCGGCCAAAACCCCACAACUUUCCCUUAUCUGCCAAAGAUGAAAACACCCGGAGUUAUCUGCAGAAAAAAGCUACUUGUUAGCACUGAUACUAACCAGAGGAAAUUAAAACUAACACUCUGAGGAGCAGAAAAAGAAAGCCGUUUGGGAUUUUCCUGCCUCCUUUUGCUUUUGGUUUCACUUGACCAAGCAGCGUCCCGCUCACCACUCGUGUCUGCACGGAGCAGAGCGCUGCGUGUGCCGGCCCCAGCACCAUGCUGCCUGCCCACACCUCUGCCCACCAGCACAGCACUAUGGGAAGCUCAAGCAGCUGUUGUUCGGAGAAAGCAAGAGAGAUGAGAGAUUUCCUCCUAC